GACGAACGCUGGCGGCGUGCUUAACACAUGCAAGUCGAACGGAAAGGCCCUGCUCUUGCGGGGUGCUCGAGUGGCGAACGGGUGAGUAACACGUGAGUAACACGCACUUGACAUUGGGAUAAAUCUAGGAAAAUGGGGCUAAUACCGGAUAGGAGCUCUUGCUGCAUGGUGGGGGUUGGAAAGUUGCGGCGGUUGGGGAUGGACUCGCGGCUUAUCAGCCUGUUGGUGGGGUAGUGGCUUACAAAGGCUUUGACGGGUAGCCGGCCUGAGAGGGUGACCGGCCACAGAGGGCUUGGGAUGCGGCCCGGACGCCUACGGGAGGCAGCAGUGGGGAAUAGUGCACGAUGGGCGGAGGGCUGGAUCAGCAUCGCCGCGUGCGGGAUGACGGCCUUCGGGUUGGAACCAGCUUUCGCCUGUGACGAAGCGUGAGGGACGGAAAUGGGUAAAGAAGCACCGGCUAACUACUG
rnacentral:rRNA from 1 species